rnacentral:misc_RNA from 1 species
AACGCACCUUGCGCCCUUUGGUAUUCCGAAGGGCAUGCCUGUUUGAGUGUCAUUAAAUUCUCAACCUUGCAAGCUUUUUUGCUAGUGAGGCUUGGAUGUGAGGGCUUUUGCUGGCUUCCAUUCAGUUGGAUGGUCUGCUCCCUUUAAAUUCAUUAGUGGAUUCCUUUGUGGAUGGUCACUUGGUGUGAUAAUUAUCUACGCCGCCUGACUCUGAUACAAGACUUGUGGGGACCUGCUUAUAACCGUCUCUUUCAAGAGACAAUCUCUAUUGACAAUUUGACCUCAAAUCAGGUAGGACUACCCGCUGAACUUAA